rnacentral:rRNA from 1 species
UACGUAGGGUGCAAGCGUUAAUCGGAAUUACUGGGCGUAAAGCGUGCGCAGGCGGCUUUGCAAGACAGAUGUGAAAUCCCCGGGCUCAACCUGGGAACUGCAUUUGUGACUGCAAGGCUAGAGUACGGUAGAGGGGGAUGGAAUUCCGCGUGUAGCAGUGAAAUGCGUAGAUAUGCGGAGGAACACCGAAGGCCAAAGCAAUCCCCUGGACCUGUACUGACGCUCAUGCACGAAAGCGUGGGGAGCAAACAGG